CUCUUACCCGUUUGAGCUCUGAAUCUAUUUUCCAGCUGUGAAGAACUUAGCAGUGUGAGUGCAAGUAUAAUAUGUAAAAACAUGCAACAGAAUUGUUGUUAUGCUUGGGAAUUAAUAAAUGUCAGCAUUGAAGGUAAUUGAAGGAUAAACCAGGCUUGCUUAAUUUCCGGGAGUAUUCCUAUCAAAUUCAGUGGGACAGGCUGUCAGGAAGAUGCUCUCCAGAAGGACUUUUCUUCUUCUAAUUUUAUUGCCACUCCUCUUUUGAAGGUGAAUUUUAUCAUUGGCUUCAGGAUCAAGUGACCUCUGAAGAGAAGAACCUCAGUGAGAGCAAAAUUGAACAAGAUAAAAGGACUAUGGGGAAGACUGUGUUGAGGUCACAUACCACAGCUGCAUGGCGUUGAAGUCUAGACAAGAGCUUCCAUGAGCAAAAUGGCUUUGACUAUGCAUGAGGACAUACAUGUAGACCAAGCUCUUGAUGUUACAGCAAAAAUUACGUGCAUUUGAUGCAUCACUCCUUACGUGAAUCAACCUUCAGUGCUAUUAAACUGCUUCCGUAGAAUUUCUUGAGUGCUUGAGCCCUGUAAGGUUUUAUUCUCUCUGUUCCAACAGCUUGCGUGUUUUCAUUUUUUAAACAAAUAACUUCCCUAUCCCUCCACUCCCUUCAGUCCUGAAGAACGCACUGACAACUUUAAAAAUGCUGUAAACAUGGGGACAGUAAAUGGCAUUUUUGUUAUAAUCUUGUCUUUGGAAAGAAAGAUCUGAAUGAAGAGGUGACGAUCAGAAGCAGCUGGAAAAUAUGUCUCCAAAGAAAUUAAUGGAAAAUAGAGCACUU
rnacentral:lncRNA from 1 species